CCCCGGCCCCGCUCCUUCGCCUCCGACGGUUUCCCCUUGUCCACACGCACCUUUAUCUCGUUCUCUCUCCCGUCGCCUGCGCUCAUCCUCUACAGAAAAAAAAUCGAGAAAACAACCACCCAUGUCUGCGAUCUGCCUACUCCACCCAUGCCCAUGGCCGCCCCCGACGCAAUAGCUCAGCCCCACCCUUGCACACGGAUUCGGCCACGCCCAACCUGCCCUGCUCUAGCUGCCCGUUUAAUUUCGCUGCCAAGAAACUACCGCCAUGGAGGUGCGCCCCUUCAUCAGAUCCAGUGAGGAGGUGCCUCGGCCAAAGAGAAAGCAGCCAGGCACUCGCCCUCCAUAAAUCCGGCGAGGAGGCGCAGUGCCCACAAUAGUGGUCGUGAUGGUGGCUAGGAGAGCUUGGCAACCAUCUACCUGGUGACACUGGAGGUGGAGAUCAGACGUUCGCCUAGCUGUGGACUUCGACAACGUGCGUGUUUGUGAAGCUGUUGCCGCUGAUUCAGUACUGGGCUCAGAUGCGUCAAGAUUGGCGCGAAUGAUCAUACAUUGGCAGUUGAGGCAUGGAAGGGGCUCUAUCAGAGCAUCAGGUCAACACAGAACGCCAAUGGUAGAUGUGAUAUGGCAAGCCACAAAGAAGGAAAAAAGAGUGUUCAGAUAUUGCUUAAUGCGAAAAUAGAGGUAUUUUUCAGUUGCAAAUUGCAUAGUGUCGUCAACUGGAUGCAUAGUUUCUAUCUUUCAUGGUAACAUGAGCUUCUGAAACUAUCAUUGUAGCUUCAACCGUCAAACUGGAGUUGUCUUAAUUUAGAUUAACUGUCCCAAGUUAAACACCAAAUAGUUAGAAAUGUCUAGGUACUGAAGAAUUAUCGUGCGGUUCUACAUAAAGUUUCAUAGCCAAUGGACCAGCUAUGUCAUUUAUAAAUAUGGUGAAAAAGAAAAGAACAUACUGAACUCUGGUCACUGGUACAACUGAAAUUUCGCUCUAUGAUGCUAGAUAAAUCUAAGAACAAGCACUUUCUAGACCUUUUUUUUCUUUUAAAUCAUGUGGAUGGUUUAAUAACAUGUGUUUGAGAAAAUAUCAGAGUGCUUGAGAAAUUAUGAUGUUCCCGUAGCAGACAACUACUUUCUCUUUAUGUUAAGCCUUCUGCUAAUUCAGGAUAAGUAGACAUUAGCAUGCAUGAUAAGCCUAUAUAGUAGUAUCCUGCUAAUUCAUGGAUUGCUUAAGCAGUUAAUAGCUUUUUUAGAGAUCUGAAUUUUCGUGAGCUCUAUUGUCCUUGCCCUACCCCAAUCCACGGCCAGCAGAUCACCGAGCUAGAAGGAAUGUCGAGGUUCGUGCCCAUGCCCAUCGUCCUCGCCUUAUGCUCGCACUACACCGCUGCCUGUACCAAAUGCACACUGGGUGCCCGCGCCUCAAGGCCCAACGUGACAUGCUCGACGCCGCCAUCAAGGAGAUCGUUCAUCUAGGCAUCCGAAAGUUUUCUGUGAUUUUCUAGCCAAUUAUGAGAUUGAGAUGCAACAGUAUCAAGUUGACUUUAUAGUUCUACCUUUUUAUGUGGUGCAAACCUGAAAUAACUUGGAAUAUUUGUAUCUCUAAAUAAAUUUAUUAAAAAACUAGAUUCAAGGAUCUCUCUGAUGAUA